rnacentral:rRNA from 1 species
GAUGAACGCUGGCAGCGUGCCUGAUACAUGCAAGUCGAGCGAACAGACGAGGAGCUUGCUCCUCUGACGUUAGCGGCGGACGGGUGAGUAACACGUGGAUAACCUACCUAUAAGACUGGGAUAACUUCGGGAAACCGGAGCUAAUACCGGAUAAUAUAUUGAACCGCAUGGUUCAAUAGUGAAAGACGGUUUUGCUGUCACUUAUAGAUGGAUCCGCGCCGCAUUAGCUAGUUGGUAAGGUAACGGCUUACCAAGGCGACGAUGCGUAGCCGACCUGAGAGGGUGAUCGGCCACACUGGAACUGAGACACGGUCCAGACUCCUACGGGAGGCAGCAGUAGGGAAUCUUCCGCAAUGGGCGAAAGCCUGACGGAGCAACGCCGCGUGAGUGAUGAAGGUCUUCGGAUCGUAAAACUCUGUUAUUAGGGAAGAACAAAUGUGUAAGUAACUAUGCACGUCUUGACGGUACCUAAUCAGAAAGCCACGGCUAACUACGUG